ACCAAACGAGCGAUGUAUGAAGUCUCUAUCACUCAACCAACGAGGCACUUGCCAAAAGUACCUUUCCCUCUUUGGCAAGAGCCGCAAGACCCGUGUUGGCAAGAGCUAAAGAGCCCCCGGUUCGGGGGGCGGGUAGGGGGGCAUGUUGGAGAGGGAGAGAGGGCGAUGGAGAGGAAAGUGGUUGUGGUUUGCGUCGCGGUCGGUCUUCUGGGGCUUCUCUCCGCUGCGCUGGGCUUUGCCGCGGAGGCGACAAGGGUCAAGG
rnacentral:lncRNA from 1 species